rnacentral:rRNA from 1 species
CCUGCCUUUAUCAGGGGGAUAGCCUUUCGAAAGGAAGAUUAAUACCCCAUAAUAUAAGAAACGGCAUCGUUUUUUAUUGAAAACUCCGGUGGAUAGAGAUGGGCACGCGCAAGAUUAGAUAGUUGGUAGGGUAACGGCCUACCAAGUCAGUGAUCUUUAGGGGGCCUGAGAGGGUGAUCCCCCACACUGGUACUGAGACACGGACCAGACUCCUACGGGAGGCAGCAGUGAGGAAUAUUGGACAAUGGGUGAGAGCCUGAUCCAGCCAUCCCGCGUGAAGGACGACGGCCCUAUGGGUUGUAAACUUCUUUUGUAUAGGGAUAAACCUUUCCACGUGUGGAAAGCUGAAGGUACUAUACGAAUAAGCACCGGCUAACUCCGUGCCAGCAGCCGCGGUAAU